CCCAAGAGUGGAAGUAAGGCACCACAAGCCGUAGUGCACUAAGUAACAAGGCUGCUGAAUGCAUCAUCCUGGUGGGAGAAAAAAAUAACUUGGAAGCACCCUACCGUCCCACAAGAGAAUGGUUGGAUAAAGGAUGCAUGUCGACAUUCUAGAAUAUUGUGUAGCCUUCUACUGUUCAGCUGGGGGGUUGAGGCUGGAGUCAGGGCGGGGUCUGUGCUGGGCCCUGCGGUGAGUGAGGUUGGAAAAUUAGGUACAGCCUCCUGCUGCCAGGUCCAGCCCCCAAGGAGGCACUUAGAAAGAGUGAUCAGGAACUUCAGCCCAUUAUCCCACUGACCCCACACUGUGUGCAUAAAACAGGCUCACAUGCCUUCUCACCCUCAGACUUUUGGAAAUUGUUCCACAGCCCACAUGCAGCUUCCCGGGACAGAGCCUCUGAUCUCUGCAGUUCUCUGAUAACCCUUAACAAAUGAACACUAUUUCCAAGUGUCCCUCUCAGCAUCUCACCUCAAGAAUCACCUUGAACAUCUUUUCUCUGUUGAGCUGAGCCAGACUGAGCAGCUGGAAGGCAGAGCAAGACAACAGGCCCAAAAUGGAGUCACUUAUGCUAAGCCCCAGGUCACCAAACCAAAACUUCACUUAAUCAGUUUUGGCUCCCUCAGGAAAUGGAAGCUUAAACCAGCAGUCAAUCAAGAAUCACCUGAUCAGCACCAGUUGGGUAACCUGCCUCAUAGUCCCUGGUAUCCGCUAAAAGGAAACUAACCCAAUAACCACCACUCCCCUUUUUUACCUUGUAUAACUUCCUUAUUCCUGCUCCCGUCUGCCUAUAAAAGCCUCAUUUUGUACAGCUCCUCAGAGCUCCUUUCUAUCUGUUGCAUUGGAUGCUGCCUGAUUCAAACUGCUGCGUGCUCAAAUAAACUCUUGAAAUGUUUA